GAUGAACGCUGGCGGCGUGCCUAAUACAUGCAAGUAGAACGCUGAAGCUUGGUGCUUGCACCGAGCGGAUGAGUUGCGAACGGGUGAGUAACGCGUAGGUACCCUGCCUGGUAGCGGGGGAUAACUAUUGGAAACGAUAGCUAAUACCGCAUAACAGUAGAUUUUGCAUGAUAUCUGCUUGAAAGGUGCAAAUGCAUCACUACCAGAUGGACCUGCGUUGUAUUAGCUAGUUGGUGAGGUACCGGCUCACCAAGGCGACGAUACAUAGCCGACCUGAGAGGGUGAUCGGCCACACUGGGACUGAGACACGGCCCAGACUCCUACGGGAGGCAGCAGUAGGGAAUCUUCGGCAAUGGGGGGAACCCUGACCGAGCAACGCCGCGUGAGUGAAGAAGGUUUUCGGAUCGUAAAGCUCUGUUGUAAGAGAAGAACGAGUGUGAGAGUGGAAAGUUCACACUGUGACGGUAUCUUACCAGAAAGGGACGGCUAACUACGUG
rnacentral:rRNA from 1 species